CUUCAGGCUCCGCACAAGCGCAGUUUUGUGAACCCCGCCAGGCCGGGAACGGAGCAACGGUAGCAAAUCCUGCCUGUGUUGCGGGCAAGUCUGAAGCCG
rnacentral:SRP_RNA from 1 species